GAUAAUGUGCCCCUUAGUUCGGGAUAGCCACUGGAAACGGUGAUUAAUACCGGAUACUCCUUCUUGUUAUAAGACAAGUCGGGAAAGUUUUUCGCUAAGGGAUCAGUCUAUGUUCCAUCAGCUUGUUGGUGAGGUAAUGGCUCACCAAGGCUAUGACGGAUAUCUGGUUUGAGAGGAUGAUCAGACACACUGGAACUGAGACACGGUCCAGACUCCUACGGGAGGCAGCAGUGAGGAAUAUUGCACAAUGGAGGAAACUCUGAUGCAGCAACGCCGCGUGGAGGAUGACGCAUUUCGGUGUGUAAACUCCUUUUAUUAGGGAAGAUAAUGACGGUACCUAAUGAAUAAGCACCGGCUAACUCCGUGCCAGCAGCCGCGGUAAUACGGAGGGUGCAAGCGUUACUCGGAAUCACUGGGCGUAAAGGGUGCGUAGGCUGGCUUUUAAGUCAGAUGUGAAAUCCAAUGGCUCAACCAUUGAACUGCAUUUGAAACUGAAAGCCUAGAGUUCAGAAGGGGCAGAUGGAAUUAGUGGUGUAGGGGUAAAAUCCGUAGAUAUCACUAGGAAUAUCAAAAGCGAAGGCGAUCUGCUGGGAUGAUA
rnacentral:rRNA from 1 species